UUAUUCAAAUUAUUCUCAUACUAUCAUCGACUAUAUUGAAUUAAUUUGAGAAACCUCGUCGAGAGAAUUUGCUAAAAUUUUCAGAGAAUGUUUAUAAUUUCUCAUGAAAAUUGAUUUCAUGGUUUUAAAUAAUAAAUCAUUUUAAUUAAAAAAACUUAUGAUUCCGUUAUUCAGAUUAAUUUUGUUAAUUUUAUUUAGCUUUUCGAAUUCCAGGAUGUUACAGUAGAGCAAAUUUAUGAUUUACUUUACAAAAUAAAUACUUUAAAUCAUGAGCUAUAGUAAAUUAAUAGAAUUUUUAUUAAUAAAUUAUCAAUUAUUAUAUCUAUCAAUAAGCUCUAAUAUUCGAGGAUAGAUAACAUCUCUUGAUUUUGAUCCCCAAAGAAAGUCCAUAUGACUAAAUCCUGAAGCAUUUACAAGAUGUUCAUCCACGAUAUUGGGCAGUAGAUUAAAUAAUUUAUUUAAAUCCUGUAAAAAAAAUAUACUUUAAGUAACUGAUAAUCAUUAUGUUUAUUGUUGACAACUACAAUUUUCACAUUCAUUAUAAUGUAUUGACAUUUUUCCUAUUGAAAGACAAUUUCAAUAUUCUCAUUCAAGAUAAGAUAAAAGUUUUUAUUUCAAACAGAACAUAAGACAGCUAUAGUAAUUGAAAUACAUGAAGGGCUUUAAAUCUAUGCUAUGUUACAGAGAAUUAUUUGAAAUAUGUAAGAAGAUUACUUACUGGAAGAUGAGCGAAUACAUCAGCAUCUGCUAAAAAUAUUGCAUGUGUCAUAACGUUCAAAACGAUCAGUCUGCAUAAGUUGAGCAUAGAGGCGCAUAUUUUUCUUGGAUGUUCCAGCUGGAAAAUUAGCUGCAACUGCUGGUCUUUCAGCACCAACAAGUGUUGGAAACAAAUCUAAGCAAUUAUAAUUUCCUAUUGACAGUACUGCACAUAGUAAUCUGAGUAAAAACAAAGGCCAAAACGGAGUCAUAAAAGUUUUUACUUCUACUAACAUCAUCGAUUUUUCUCAAAAUAUUUGAUAUUAAUCGUAAGACUGGAUCCCACAUAUCUGAUUUGUAAGCAACUGGUGCUAAACCGAUGGAUAAUUUCACUGUAUUUGCUACAUCUGGUACUUCACUAGCUAAUAUAUAAAACAUUGCUCCACCUUGCGAAUGACCAAUAUAGAAUGGAUAUCGGUUGGUUAAGGCGUGGAUAUAAUUAAUCAUUGCAGAAACAAUCCAUAAAGCAGAAUUGCCUAACAGUCCAUGCUGUAUUAAAAUUGGCUGUCCUCCUUCACUUCCUGGGAUUCGAUGAACAGUCAAUAUGUAUCCAUCCUCCGUUGUGACUGCAUGUGUUUCUAUAGGAUAUCCAUCUCGUUUAGCUAUAUUCUCCUAAAAAUGAAUAAAUGUAACAGCAUUAAAGCUGAUUGACAUGUAAUAUACUUAGUAAAAACUCAUUAUAAAUUUUUCCUUUGAA